UACGAAGGGGGCUAGCGUUGCUCGGAAUUACUGGGCGUAAAGGGCGCGUAGGCGGCCUUCUAAGUCGAACGUGAAAUCCCUGGGCUCAACCCAGGAACUGCGUCCGAUACUGGAAGGCUUGAAUCCGGGAGAGGGAUGCGGAAUUCCAGGUGUAGCGGUGAAAUGCGUAGAUAUCUGGAGGAACACCGGUGGCGAAGGCGGCAUCCUGGACCGGCAUUGACGCUGAGGCGCGAAAGCCAGGGGAGCAAACGGG
rnacentral:rRNA from 1 species